AUUGGGACUGAGACACGGCCCAGACUCCUACGGGAGGCAGCAGUGGGGAAUAUUGCACAAUGGGGGAAACCCUGAUGCAGCGACGCCGCGUGGAGGAAGAAGGUCUUCGGAUUGUAAACUCCUGUUGUUGAGGAAGAUAAUGACGGUACUCAACAAGGAAGUGACGGCUAACUACGUGCCAGCAGCCGCGGUAAAACGUAGGUCACAAGCGUUGUCCGGAAUUACUGGGUGUAAAGGGAGCGCAGGCGGGAGAACAAGUUGGAAGUGAAAUCCAUGGGCUCAACCCAUGAACUGCUUUCAAAACUGUUUUUCUUGAGUAGUGCAGAGGUAGGCGGAAUUCCCGGUGUAGCGGUGGAAUGCGUAGAUAUCGGGAGGAACACCAGUGGCGAAGGCGGCCUACUGGGCACCAACUGACGCUGAGGCUCGAAAGUGUGGGUAGCAAACAGGAUUAGAUACCCUGGUAGUCCACACCGUAAACGAUGAUUACUAGGUGUUGGAGGAUUGACCCCUUCAGUGCCGCAGUUAACACAAUAAGUAAUCCACCUGGGGAGUACGACCGCAAGGUUGAAACUCAAAGGAAUUGACGGGGGCCCGCACAAGCAGUGGAGUAUGUGGUUUAAUUCGACGCAACGCGAAGAACCUUACCAAGUCUUGACAUCCCUUGACGAACAUAGAAAUAUGUUUUCUCUUCGGAGCAAGGAGACAGGUGGUGCAUGGUUGUCGUCAGCUCGUGUCGUGAGAUGUUGGGUUAAGUCCCGCAACGAGCGCAACCCUUAUGGUCAGUUACUACGCAAGAGGACUCUGGCCAGACUGCCGUUGACAAAACGGAGGAAGGUGGGGAUGACGUCAAAUCAUCAUGCCCUUUAUGACUUGGGCUACACACGUACUACAAUGGCGUUAAACAAAGAGAAGCAAGACCGCGAGGUGGAGCAAAACUCAGAAACAACGUCCCAGUUCGGACUGCAGGCUGCAACUCGCCUGCACGAAGUCGGAAUUGCUAGUAAUCGUGGAUCAGCAUGCCACGGUGAAUACGUUCCCGGGCCUUGUACACACCGCCCGUCACACCAUGAGAGCCGGGGGGACCCGAAGUCGGUAGUCUAACCGCAAGGAGGACGCCGCCGAAGGUAAAACUGGUGAUUGGGGUGAAGUCGUAACAAGGUAGCCGUAGGAGAACCUGCGGCUG
rnacentral:rRNA from 1 species